rfam:Flavobacteriaceae bacterium 3519-10, complete genome.
CCCUAGCCCCGAUGGUAGCGGCAUCCUUUUGCGAAGCGCAGCGGAGCAAAAGAUAUAGCGGACAGCGGGAAAAAGC